rnacentral:misc_RNA from 1 species
GAUGAAGAACGUAGCGAAAUGCGAUAAGUAUUGUGAAUUGCAGAAUCCAGUGAAUCAUCGAAUCUUUGAACGCACAUUGCGCCCGCCAGUAUUCUGGCGGGCAUGCCUGUUCGAGCGUCAUUUCAACCCUCAAGCACAGCUUGGUGUUGGGACUCGCGUUAAUUCGCGUUCCCCAAAUUGAUUGGCGGUCACGUCGAGCUUCCAUAGCGUAGUAGUAAAACCCUCGUUACUGGUAAUCGUCGCGGCCACGCCGUUAAACCCCAACUUCUGAAUGUUGACCUCGGAUCAUGUAGGAAUACCCGCUGAACUUAAGCAUAUCAAUAAGCGGAGGA